rnacentral:rRNA from 1 species
GACGAACGCUGGCGGCGUGCCUAAUACAUGCAAGUCGAGCGAAGUUUUUCUGGUGCUUGCACUAGAAAAACUUAGCGGCGAACGGGUGAGUAACACGUAAAGAACCUGCCUCAUAGACUGGGACGACUAUUGGAAACGAUAGCUAAUACCGGAUAACAGCAUUAACUGCAUGGUUGAUGUUUAAAAGUUGGUUUUGCUAACACUAUGAGAUGGCUUUGCGGUGCAUUAGCUAGUUGGUGGGGUAAAGGCCUACCAAGGCGACGAUGCAUAGCCGACCUGAGAGGGUGAUCGGCCACACUGGGACUGAGACACGGCCCAGACUCCUACGGGAGGCAGCAGUAGGGAAUCUUCCGCAAUGGGCGAAAGCCUGACGGAGCAACGCCGCGUGAGUGAAGAAGGAUUUCGGUUCGUAAAGCUCUGUUGUUAGGGAAGAAUGAUUGUGUAGUAACUAUACACAGUAGAGACGGUACCUAACCAGAAAGCCACGGCUAACUACGUGCCAGCAGCCGCGGUAAUACGUAGGUGGCAAGCGUUGUCCGGAAUUAUUGGGCGUAAAGCGCGCGCAGGUGGUUUAAUAAGUCUGAUGUGAGAGCCCACGGCUCAACCGUGGAGGGUCAUUGGAAACUGUUAAACUUGAGUGCAGGAGAGAAAAGUGGAAUUCCUAGUGUAGCGGUGAAAUGCGUAGAGAUUAGGAGGAACACCAGUGGCGAAGGCGGCUUUUUGGCCUGUAACUGACACUGAGGCGCGAAAGCGUGGGGAGCAAACAGGAUUAGAUACCCUGGUAGUCCACGCCGUAAACGAUGAGUGCUAAGUGUUGGUCUCAUAAGAGAUCAGUGCUGCAGCUAACGCAUUAAGCACUCCGCCUGGGGAGUACGACCGCAAGGUUGAAACUCAAAGGAAUUGACGGGGACCCGCACAAGCGGUGGAGCAUGUGGAUUAAUUCGAUGCAACGCGAAGAACCUUACCUGGGCUUGACAUGGGCAGGACCGGCGUGGAGACACGUCUUCCCUUUUGGGCUUGUUCACAGGUGGUGCAUGGUUGUCGUCAGCUCGUGUCGUGAGAUGUUGGGUUAAGUCCCGCAACGAGCGCAACCCUUGUCUUGUGUUGCCAGCACGUAAUGGUGGGGACUCGCGAGAGACUGCCGGGGUUAACUCGGAAGAAGGUGGGGAUGACGUCAAAUCAUCAUGCCCCUUAUGUCCAGGGCUUCACACAUGCUACAAUGGUCGGUACAGUGGGUUGCGAUGCCGCGAGGCUCAGCUAAUCCCUUAAAGCCGGUCUCAGUUCGGAUUGGAGUCUGCAACUCGACUCCAUGAAGUCGGAGUCGCUAGUAAUCGCAGAUCAGCAACGCUGCGGUGAAUACGUUCCCGGGCCU